CCGGGAUAGAGGGAAAAGUGGAGGGGCGAGGAAGCUGACGAAGGAUAGAACGUCAGUCGCGCACGAGGAGCUGUUAAAGGGGGAGUAAGAAAGAAAAAGAGACCAUGGCUUGGACCCAACAGAGAUGUCUAUACACAGAAGAGAUUUCUGUCUCCCCCAUCCCAAUGUAGCCUGAAAUGCCCCCUGAAAUGCUACUCUUAGGUGAACGGAGACUUCCAGGAAGAGCUUGGCAUGGCAGCUGGAGGUGUCCUGACUCUGGAGUUCCAGAAGUGAGGGAGCGCUGACAGGUAAAAGCACCCCAAGGCAGAAUGCAUCCUCGCCAGACGGUCUCGCAUCAGCUGAUCGCUGCCACUGCCGCUCUCUACUAUGUGCAUCUUCUCAGAUAUUGGAGUGUGGGGUUUGCCUUGGCCGUGGACCGAGGCAAAGCCCACAUGUGUGUCUUUUUCUUGCAGGCAUGUCCCGAGCAUGUCCGCUCCUCCCCGCCCCCCCCCAACCCUCUGCGAGUGACAUGCAGAUCCAGCCCAGGAAGCAAUAUCUCACCGCAGUCCACAUCUCAGCCUCGCCCCUGGGAGCAAGAAGGAGGGCUGUACGAAACGCCUUGGCUCCCUUUCCAGCCUAGAAACAAGGGCGCUUUUUCCAGUUUAA